rnacentral:tRNA from 1 species
GGUUGCGUAGUUCAAUGGAUAGAAUACGGGUUUCCUAAACCUUAGAUCCGGGUUCGAUUCCCGGCGCGACUACCA